rnacentral:lncRNA from 1 species
UAUUCCGUGACACCACCAAUUUAACAUCAAUAGGGUUCGAUACCUAAAGUAUCCUCCUACAGUCCUACCAAUUAAACAUAAGUAGAGAUCAAAUCAUGACUUAAGGUAUCCUACAGUCCCGUCAGUAAAACAGGACCUGAAGUAUCCUCAUACAGUCUCAUCAAUUAAACAUAAGUAGGGAUUGAACCAGGACCUAAGGUAUCCUCCUACAGUCCCACCAAUUAAACAUAAGUAGGUAUCGUAGCAAGACCUUAAGUAUCCUCAUACAGUCCCAUCAAUAAAACAGAAAUAAGGAUCGAACCAGGACCUAAGGUAUCCUUAUACAGUCCCACUUAUUAAACAUACGUAGGGAUCGAAUCAGGACCUAAGGUAUCAUUUUACAGUCCCACCAAUAAAAGAUAAGUAGGGAUUGAACCAGGACCUUAAGUAUCCUCAUACAGUCCCACUUAUUAAACAUACGUAGGGAUCGAAUCAGUACCUGAGGUAUCCUCCUACAUUCCAACCAAUAAAACAUAAGUAGGUAUUGAAGAAGGACCUAAGGUAUCCUCCUACAGUCCCAUCCAUUUAACAUAAAUAGGGUUCGAUACCUAAAAUAUCCUCCUACCGUCCCACCAAUUGAACAUAAGUAGGGAUCGAAUCAGGACCCAAGGUAUCCUUCUACAGUCUCACCAAUAAAACAUAAGUAGGGAUUGGACCAGGACCUAAAGUAUCUUCAUAUAGUCCCACCAAUAAAACAUAAGUAGGGAUCGAAUCAGGACCUAAGGUAUCAUUCUACAUUCCCACCAAUAAAACAUGAGUAGGGAUUGAACCAGGACCUUACGUAUUUUCAUACAGUCCCAUCAAUUAAACAUAAGUAGGGAUUGAAGCAAGACCUUAAGUAUCCUCAUACAGUCCUAUGAAUAAAACAUAAGUAGGGAUUGAACCAGGACCUAAGGUAUCCUCCUACAGUCCCACCUAUUAAACAUACGUAAGGAUCGAAUCAGGGCUUAAUGUACCCUUUUACAGUCCCACCAAUAAAACAUAAGUAGGUAUUGAACAAGGACCUAAGGUAUCCUCCUACAGUCCCACCCAUUAAACAUAAAUAGAGUUCGAUACCUUAAGCCCUUAAAUAUCCAUCUAUAGUCCCACCAAUUAAACAAAAGUGGGGAUCGAAUCAGGACCUAAGGUAUCCUUCUACAGUCCCACCAAUAAAACAUAAGUAGGCAUUGAACCAGGACCUAGAGUAUCCUCAUAUAGGCCCACCAAUAAAACAUAAGUAGGGAUCGAAUCA